UACGAAGGGGGCUAGCGUUGCUCGGAAUCACUGGGCGUAAAGCGCGUGUAGGCGGCCCCUGCAAGUCGGGGUGUGAAAUCCCACGGCUCAACCGUGGAAGUGCACUCGAAACUGCAGGGCUAGAGCCUGGAGAGGAAGGUGGAAUGCUUGGUGUAGAGGUGAAAUUCGUAGAUAUCAAGCGGAACACCGGUGGCGAAGGCGGCCUUCUGGACAGUGACUGACGC
rnacentral:rRNA from 1 species